rnacentral:lncRNA from 1 species
CAUAACCAUAGUUCUUACGAGACUCAUCGUCAUCAACAUCGCGACUCUCAUAAGCUGGUCUCACAUACUCCUCCUCUUGCCUCCCAUAACUAGGCCUCCUUGGUGGGUCAUCUCCAUAACUCGGUCUCUCGUAUUCGGGCCUUCCUCCAUACGCUUCCUCCCCAUAACUAGGCUUCCGCCCAUAACCUUCGCCAUAUCCUGACCCACCACCUUCGUAUUCAGACUGUGGCCUACCUCCAUAUCCGGAUCCAUAUUCCGAACUAGGCCUCUCAUACCCAGGCUCAGGUCUCCUGCCAUACCCGGAUCCAUACUCCCCACCUGGUGGCCUCUCAUAUCCAGUCCCAUAUUCUGAUUCUGGCCUCCUUCCAUAGCCACCAGAUCCAUAUUCUGAAUCGGGUCUCUGGCCAUAACCAGAACCAUAUUCCUCACCGGAUGGCCUUCCGCCAUAUCCACCAGAUCCAUAAUCAGAUCCAGGCAUGGUAACUCCAGGCUGGAAACCAUAAGCAGGCUCAGGCUUAGCAUCUACAAAUACUUCUCCACCAGGAGUGUAUCCAUGAGCAGGACCGGGUCGGGGCUUGGGACGGCCAUAGCUGCUGUACUCCUCCUGGAGAUGAUCGUCGGCGUAGGCUGAUGGCUCAGCGUAGGAGGUGUAGCUGGGGCGAUCAUAGUCGAUCUCAUCGGCGGAUGAGCUGUGCGGGUAGCAUGUC